rnacentral:rRNA from 1 species
CCUAAGCUGAGGCCGACAGGCGUAGGCGAUGGAUAACAGGUUGAUAUUCCUGUACCACCUAUAAUCGUUUUAAUCGAUGGGGGGACGCAGUAGGAUAGGCGAAGCGUGCGAUUGGAUUGCACGUCUAAGCAGUAAGGCUGAGUAUUAGGCAAAUCCGGUACUCAUUAAGGCUGAGCUGUGAUGGGGAGAAGACAUUGUGUCUUCGAGUCGUUGAUUUCACACUGCCGAGAAAAGCCUCUAGAUAGAAAAUAGGUGCCCGUACCGCAAACCGACACAGGUAGUCAAGAUGUGAAUUCUAAGGUGAGCGAGCGAACUCUCGUUAAGGAACUCGGCAAAAUGACCCCGUAACUUCGGGAGAAGGGGUGCUCUUUAGGGUUAACGCCCAGAAGAGCCGCAGUGAAUAGGCCCAAGCGACUGUUUAUCAA